UUUAUAGACCAGAAACUAAAAUUCUUUAUUUAUAUACAGGCCAGAUAUAUAGGGGGAGGACCCAGUGCUUUCAAGCUUCCCCACACAGCGCCACCCAUCUACCUAAACUCUGAUUUGAAAGGACCACUAACAGCAGGGGUGAGAGAAGAAAAUUCAUCUUUCCAUGUCCAUUCCAUCACAGGGCUCCU
rnacentral:sRNA from 1 species